AAAUUUUAGGACGUCAUUUAGCAACCCAAUUCCUCAAUAAGACACUGGACACAACAACACCCGAAACCAAUCAAAUUGUUGUCUCUUGGAAUUGUGUCCCGCCCUGAAAGAGUGUGGAGGUUGUUAGAGAUAGGGAAGGGGAAAAGUGAUAAUGAUAACAGUAAGCAGAGCAAUGUGUUCAACUUCCAGGGUCAACAUUGACCACCUUCGUUCUCAACUUGACCAACUUCACUCUGAAGCUGACAUUACUAGAAGAAAAGCUAAUAAUGCAAGAUUCAGGCUCCUACGACUGUCAGAAGCAGCAGAAAACUUAUGCCGGCAAGCGGCUGUAAGUGUUCGGAAGGGAAAAGAAGAUUAUGCUAGGGAGCUUCUACUCCAAAAGAAGAAGAUUAUGUCAGCUUUAGAGAAAUCAAAAGGUCGUGUAGAAUUGUUUGAUGAACUAGCAGCAAAACUAAAUGAGGCAAUAUCAAUCAAAGAAGCACAAUUAGUCAGAAAUAUUGCAUCAGAUCUUGAAAUUGAAGGAGAUGAUGCUGGUGGUCCUGUACGGAUUGUCUCUCCGACACAAGAUAACAGGAAGACUUUAGAUGUUGGCAACAAUUUCACUUUUAACCAAUCUGAUGCUGGUGAAGACCAAGAAUUGGUGCCUGAUGUUGACAGUGAUGGAAAUAUGAUGUCUUACAGUGAGGCUGAGGAAGCAGUUCCUGAAAGCAUCAGCAGCGGGUAUGAAGCAGUUCCUGAAAGCAUUAGCAGUGGGAGUGAAGCAAUCAUGUAUAAUAGCUUAAGAGGUCCAUCAUAUUAUAUUGAUUUCUUGGAGGAUCUUGACCAACAAUUGGGAAAAGUUGAAAAUGACUUUAUGACCAUUUUAGAACUCCCAGCCGGGGAACUAGAAAAUGAGGAGAAACCCAAUGGCUUCAGAGUGCAACGUCUGGAAAAUCUUGAAAACAUUCGUGGUGCUAGAUUGAGAAUUCGCAAAUUUAUCCAGGAAGUUGCGGGGACUAGUUAGAUAAUCGUCUACGUUUCAAGAGAAACUUUCCUUAAAAGAGGUUGGUAUAUGCAGGAAGUCGAACACUUCGAGGAAGUUAGAUCUGCGGAAGCUCCUUCAUCGAAACCUAUAUAAUUGGGUAAGCCAAAUAAACUAGCAGCAGUGCAAAGAACAACAUACAACUAUAUAUAAUUUAACCCUGGUAGUUUGUUCAUCCAAUUUAAUGUGGUGUGCAAAGUUAGGGGUUAGUUUAGGAUUGGUGAAAAACAUGGAAAUUACAUCAGAAAUUGGCCACAGUACAAAUUUCCAAAUAUGCUUUAUAUAUUUUUCAAUGGCUGGAAGAAGGCCAUUUGUUAGGGCAGAUGCUUCAGCCAAUUAAGUGGAACUACGUCCCAGGUCGUACAUGAUACAACCGCCUACAUGAUUGCAUAUGAUAACACCUGUCCUGCUGAGGCUGUUAUUUUGUGAACCAUCAAAGUCUUUCUUCAUGAUUCCAGGAUUUGGGUGCGAAGGGGGGGUUGGCAUUGGGCAAGGGGCAUAAUGAGGAAGCUGUGCAAGGCUUGUUCGGGGCGGGGGGUUAGACGAGGAGGGUUGUCGACAAAGUCCUAAGUAAGCUGAUCGUAUCAUUAUGAAUUUUGUGAUUCCUCCAUCUACUCGACUGUGUCACCUACUUACCCCAUCCCUUGAAGGCAGUAUUUUAUCUUAUGUGUAAUUAUUUUUCAUGGUGAAGUUGCAUCAUACCCUCAAACAACUAUCACAUACUUUUUCCGUAGAGUUGUCCUUUUCUUUUUGGUGAAGUUUUUCAUUCACAAAUGCUGGAAA